rnacentral:misc_RNA from 1 species
GUAGGUGAACUUGCGGAAGGAUCAUUACCGUGGGGCUUCGGCCCCAUUGAGAUAGCACCCUUUGUAUAUGAGUACCCUUGUUUCCUCGGCGGGCUUGCCCGCCAUGAGGACAUUAAAAACCCUUUGUAGUAGCAGUAACUUCAGUUAAUAAUAAAUAUUAAAACUUUCAGCAACGGAUCUCUUGGUUCUG